rnacentral:tRNA from 1 species
CAUUAGAUGACUGAAAGAAAGUAAUGGUCUCUUAAACCAAUUUAUAGUAAUUAUCGACUACUUCUAAUGA